rnacentral:rRNA from 1 species
AAAACGACUCUCGGCAACGGAUAUCUAGGCUCUCGCAUCGAUGAAGAACGUAGCGAAAUGCGAUACUUGGUGUGAAUUGCAGAAUCCCGCGAAUCAUCSMGUUUUUGAACGCAAGUUGCGCCCGAAGCCAUUCGGCCGAGGGCACGUCUGCCUGGGUGUCACGC